UACGAAGGGUGCAAACGUUGCUCGGAAUCAUUGGGCGUAAAGCGCACGUAGGCGGCCUGUUAAGUCGGAUGUGAAAUCCCUCGGCUCAACCGAGGACGUGCAUUCGAAACUGGCAGGCUCGAGUAUGGAAGAGGGUCGCGGAAUUCCCGGUGUAGAGGUGAAAUUCGUAGAUAUCGGGAGGAACACCAGUGGCGAAGGCGGCGACCUGGGCCAAUACUGACGCUGAGGUGCGAAAGCGUGGGGAGCGAACAGG
rnacentral:rRNA from 1 species